rnacentral:rRNA from 1 species
UACGGGGGGGGCAAGCGUUGUUCGGAAUUACUGGGCGUAAAGGGCUCGUAGGUGGCCAACUAAGUCGGACGUGAGAUCCCUCGGCUUAACCGGGGAACUGCGUCCGAUACUGGAUGGCUUGAGUUUGGGAGAGGGAUGCGGAAUUCCAGGUGUAGCGGUGAAAUGCGUAGAUAUCUGGAGGAACACCGGUGGCGAAGGCGGCAUCCUGGACCAACACUGACGCUGAGGAGCGAAAGCCAGGGGAGCAAAGCGGG